GUGCUUGCUCAGCAGCAUGUAUACAUAAAUUGGAAUGAGACUAAGAUUAGCAAGGCCCUGCGCAAGGAUGACAAAGUAUGUCAAGAGAUUCACGGAAAAUAG
ensembl:snRNA U6 U6 spliceosomal RNA